AGCUCCAAUAGCGUAUACAUAAGUUGUUGCAGUUAAAAAGCUCGUAGUUGAACUUCUGGUUGGGCACAGGCUCGGCAUUCGCCAGUCUGUUGUCUAAUCAUCCGUCUGCAACCCUACAUCUGCCUUCACUGGUAAGAGUAGGUGAGCAGACAAUUUACCUUGAAAAAAUUAGAGUGUUUCAGGCAGGUACUCGCCGGAAUACAUUAGCAUGGAAUAAUGGAAUAGGACUCCGAUCCUUUGUUGGUUUCGGGAUCAGAGUAAUGAUUAAUAGGAACAGAUGGGGGCAUUAGUAUUUAAUUGUCAGAGGUGAAAUUCUUGGAUUUAUUAAAGACUAACUAAUGCGAAAGCAUUUGCCAAGGAUGUUUUCA
rnacentral:rRNA from 1 species